ACGUGGGUGCGCACGCGCGUCUCUGCGCGCUGCUCCCGGAACCAGGAUUGCCAGGAAAACGAAACUCAGGCGUGGAAACGCAACUGCCGAGGAAGUCGGAGCGAUAGGCGAGCCGCUUGGGAAAACGCCAGGAGGAGAAAGACCCUCUGCAUCCUGAAGGCGAAAGAGAGGACUGAACCCCUGAGCCGUUGGAACGGAUUGUGCCACUGGGAGCACCAUGGAAAUCAUUGACAAGGACUUCGAGGAAAGACUUCUCAAGAUAACUAUGAUGGAUCUUGUGGCAAAGAAGACCGCUGUGGAAGAAGAAAACAAGAUGUCCCCAGCUCUAGCGGCCUGCUUCAGCCAUGCUGCAGAACUCCUGAGAAAGGAUCCAAACAUUUUCGGAGAAGUGCAACUGGUCCUCCAAGGCGGAGGAUCAUGUGUGAGUUUAGCUCCUGCUAAGUAUUUCGACAGGCGCAUUAUUUGGUAUGAUGACCAUUUGAAGGUUGUCCAGGAUGACCUGGAUGUCUGAUUAUCUCCAGCUGCUCCAGAUGUUUACUGAAUUGUAGCCGUUUUGCAUUGCUGAGUAGGCAUUGUUUGCAUUUUCCGUAAAGCAUUUCUGCUUAACAGCUGUGUGACUUUGUAAUACUCUUUGGAGUGAUAUUUCUUGUGCUGCAACAAAUAAAAUAAAGUGUCUUGUGGCCAC